CGACAUAGCUCAAUGGUAGAGUGGGUGGCUGUUAACCACUAGGUUGCAGGUUCGAGCCCUGCUGUCGG
rnacentral:tRNA from 1 species